rnacentral:pre_miRNA from 1 species
UAAAUACUCCCUCCGUCCGAAAAUACUUGUCUUCAAAAUGGAUAAAAAGAGAUGUAUCUAAAACUAAAAUAUGUCUAGAUACAUUUCCUUUUAUCCAUUUUGAUGACAAGUAUUUCUGGACGGAGGGAGUAUUUG